ACAGAAAUAAACUUGAAUGGACUAACUUUUUGGAUGACAAACAGAUCACAAGGAGUUGGAGAACAACAAAAGAUUAAAAAUAACAACAGAAAAAAAGUUGAAAUGAAUGGAACAAUGAGAGGACACUAAACUGAUAUGCUUGAUGCUAAACAAUAAGAAAUGGAUAUGGAGGAUGGAAAUUGAAACAAAAACUUGAAACAAUGAAACAAAAGUAAAGAGAUGAAAC
rnacentral:lncRNA from 1 species